AAUGAACGCUGGCGGCGCGCCUAAUACAUGCAAGUCGAGCGAGAAGACGUAGCAAUACGUUUGUAAAGCGGCGAACGGGUGAGGAAUACAUGGGUAACCUACCCUAGAGUGGGGAAUAACUAGCCGAAAGGUUAGCUAAUACCGCGUACGCUCCUUGGACUUCGGUUCAGGGAGGAAAGCGAUGCCGAGGGUAUCGCGCUCUUGGAUGGGCUCAUGUCCUAUCAGCUUGUUGGNGAGGUAACGGCUCACCAAGGCUUCGACGGGUAGCUGGUCUGAGAGGACGAUCAGCCACACUGGCACUGCGACACGGGCCAGACUCCUACGGGAGGCAGCAGUAAGGAAUAUUGCGCAAUGGGCGAAAAGCCUGACGCAGCGACGCCGCGGUGGGGGAU
rnacentral:rRNA from 1 species